rnacentral:rRNA from 1 species
AUGAACGCUAGCUACAGGCUUAACACAUGCAAGUCGAGGGGCAGCAUUUUAGUUUGCUUGCAAACUGAAGAUGGCGACCGGCGCACGGGUGAGUAACACGUAUCCAACCUGCCGAUAACUCCGGGAUAGCCUUUCGAAAGAAAGAUUAAUACCGGAUGGCAUACGAAUAUCGCAUGAUAUUUUUAUUAAAGAAUUUCGGUUAUCGAUGGGGAUGCGUUCCAUUAGUUUGUUGGCGGGGUAACGGCCCACCAAGACUACGAUGGAUAGGGGUUCUGAGAGGAAGGUCCCCCACAUUGGAACUGAGACACGGUCCAAACUCCUACGGGAGGCAGCAGUGAGGAAUAUUGGUCAAUGGGCGCGAGCCUGAACCAGCCAAGUAGCGUGAAGGAUGAAGGCUCUAUGGGUCGUAAACUUCUUUUAUAUGGGAAUAAAGUUUUCCACGUGUGGAAUUUUGUAUGUACCAUAUGAAUAAGGAUCGGCUAACUCCGUGCCAGCAGCCGCGGUAAUACGGAGGAUCCGAGCGUUAUCCGGAUUUAUUGGGUUUAAAGGGAGCGUAGGUGGAUUGUUAAGUCAGUUGUGAAAGUUUGCGGCUCAACCGUAAAAUUGCAGUUGAAACUGGCAGUCUUGAGUACAGUAGAGGUGGGCGGAAUUCGUGGUGUAGCGGUGAAAUGCUUAGAUAUCACGAAGAACUCCGAUUGCGAAGGCAGCUCACUAGACUGUCACUGACACUGAUGCUCGAAAGUGUGGGUAUCAAACAGGAUUAGAUCCCCUGGUAGUCCACACAGUAAACGAUGAAUACUCGCUGUUUGCGAUAUACAGUAAGCGGCCAAGCGAAAGCAUUAAGUAUUCCACCUGGGGAGUAGGCCGGCAACGGUGAAACUCAAAGGAAUUGACGGGGGCCCGCACAAGCGGUGGAGCAUGUGGUUUAAUUCGAAGCAACGCGAAGAACCUUACCAGGUCUUGACAUCGAUCUAAAGGCUCCAGAGAUGGAGAGAUAGCUAUAUGAGAUACAGGUGGUGCAUGGUUGUCGUCAGCUCGUGUCGUGAGAUGUUGGGUUAAGUCCCGCAACGAGCGCAACCCUUAUCUUUAGUUACUAACAGGUCAUGCUGAGGACUCUAGAGAGACUGCCGUCGUAAGAUGUGAGGAAGGUGGGGAUGACGUCAAAUCAGCACGGCCCUUACGUCCGGGGCUACACACGUGUUACAAUGGGGGGUACAGAAGGCGGCUACCUGGUGACAGGAUGCUAAUCCCAAAAACCUCUCUCAGUUCGGAUCGAAGUCUGCAACCCGACUUCGUGAAGCUGGAUUCGCUAGUAAUCGCGCAUCAGCCAUGGCGCGGUGAAUACGUUCCCGGGCCUUGUACACACCGCCCGUCAAGCCAUGAAAGCCGGGGGUACCUGAAGUACGUAACCGCAAGGAGCGUCCUAGGGUAAAACUGGUAAUUGGGGCU